rnacentral:rRNA from 1 species
CCUACGGGAGGCAGCAGUGGGGAAUAUUGCACAAUGGGGGAAACCCUGAUGCAGCGACGCCGCGUGAGUGAAGAAGUAUUUCUGUAUGUAAAGCUCUAUCAGCAGGGAAGAAAAUGACGGUACCUGAUUACUCAGCCCCGGCUCCCUACGUGCCAGCAGCCGCGGUCAUACGUAGGGGGCAAGCGUUAUCCGGGUUUACUGGGUGUAAAGGGAGCGUAGACGGGAGCACAAGUCUGGAGUGAAAUGCCGGGGCUUAACCCCGGAACUGCUUUGGAAACUGUGCAGCUAGAGUGCAGGAGAGGUAAGUGGAAUUCCUAGUGUAGCGGUGAAAUGCGUAGAUAUUAGGAGGAACACCAGUGGCGAAGGCGGCUUACUGGACUGUAACUGACGUUGAGGCUCGAAAGCGUGGGGAGCAAACAGGAUUAGAUACCCUAGUAGUC